UUAUAAUAAUUGUUACAAUAAGGUAGAGCCUAUAAAUUUGCUUUCAUUUCUCUUCAACAUCACAAGAGUUUAAAGCAACUUACACCUCAAUAAGCUAUUUAUAUUUUCCUUGCUUCAUCUAUUAUUAGCAUAUAUUUGUCUCUAGUGAAAAAAAUGGCACAUGUUAACAGAAACAUUAGCAGAAUUGUGUUCUUCAUUGUGUUCAUUGUGGGGUUUGUUUUAGCUGCUGAGGCAAGAUCACAGGGUAGUGAGUUUUCUGAAGCACCAGCUCCAUCACCUGAUGUUGGAGCUGGAUUUUUGGUGACUUAUUCUGGAGCAUUUCUUUGUUCCUCACUUUUCCUCUCUCUUAUUCUACUUGUCUCCCAUUAACUAUUCAUUGUAUUAUAUGAUAGAAUAUUAUGAUAUUAUUCGAUAUAUCUAGCCGACUCACCUGAUUGGAUAAAAGCUUGAUUGUUGUUGUUACGUAUUUAUUUAAGAUUCCGUUAUCCUAUUCAUUCUAUAUAGGAAGGGGGUGAUUUUGUAUUUGAGGCCUGUGGCAUUCUUUAUUUUAUUUCUGAUGUGGUUAAUUACAUUGUCAUUGUAAUAUUUUAUUUUUGGCACGCUAAUUAUUUGGUUAAAUAUUACAUUAUUUACCUGUGGGAAACAAUUUACAAUUUGUCUUCUUAUUUUGUUGAAUAUUUUUAAUUCAGUCUUGUAUACGGUGUGUGUGUGUGUGAGAAAGUGUAGUGACUAAUAAAGAUCAAAAUGGGAAUUUAAUAAAGAAA
rnacentral:lncRNA from 1 species